UGGCCAGGCUGGCCUCGAACUCCUGACCUCAGGUGAUUCACCAGCCUCGGCCUCCCAAAGUGCUGGGGUUACAAGCAUGAACCGCCAUGCCCGGCCCUGUUCUCUACUCUUCCUCC